rnacentral:rRNA from 1 species
AACGAACGCUGGCGGCAUGCCUAACACAUGCAAGUCGAACGAGACCUUCGGGUCUAGUGGCGCACGGGUGCGUAACGCGUGGGAACCUGCCCUUAGGUUCGGAAUAACUCCCCGAAAGGGGUGCUAAUACCGGAUAAUGUCUUCGGACCAAAGAUUUAUCGCCUUUGGAUGGGCCCGCGUUGGAUUAGCUAGUUGGUAGGGUAAAAGCCUACCAAGGCGACGAUCCAUAGCUGGUCUGAGAGGAUGAUCAGCCACACUGGGACUGAGACACGGCCCAGACUCGUACGGGAGGGAGCAGUGGGGAAGAUUGGACAAUGGGCGAAAGCCUGAUCCAGCAAUGCCGCGUGAGUGAUGAAGGCCUUAGGGUUGUAAAGCUCUUUUACCCGGGAUGAUAAUGACAGUACCGGGAGAAUAAGCUCCGGCUAACUCCGUG